GCCAGAGGAGGCUGGGGUUCAGGGAAGACCGAGCUGCAGCUCCCCAGCAAAUCCCGAGUCCCUCUCCGGCUCAGGAGGCCUGAGCUCCAGCCAUGCCCUUUCUCAAGCCCCUGUAGGAAGCACUGCCUCAUCCUCAGGCACUGCGUAGGCCUUCUCCACAUGCCCCUGGUAAGCCUCACUCCUCAUGGUCCCAAACUCUUCAGAGGCCUCAGCUGUGUGUCCAGCCUGGCUCAGGGUGGGCACUGAGACACGAAUGCAGAGCCCUAACCUUCGACCUCCCACCCUCCCCUUCCUCUCUGCUCUAGUCAUCCAGCUUCUUCUCGAAUGUCUCCCAUGACGGGGUGCUCAGCAUCACUCAAGCCAGCUGUGUCCCUGCUUUGGGUUUUCCCCUGGUAUGAGUUCAGGGCCAGAGCAGGGAGCCGGGGCCCAUCGUAGUGCAGGGGUGGGGGCUCUCCCCAGCUGGGGGAGCGUCCCAGGUCUCCUGGGAGACCUGGGCACAUGUGCAGCUGCUGUGCACAGGCAGGAAGAUGGCGGCCUCCACUGACCAAGCUCUCAGACGACUCAUCAGCUGUGACACACGCCUUUUCAUUUGGACCCAUUAGGGUAACCUGGUGGAAAUAAAGCAUCUGUCACACCCCAGGAAAGUGUCACACAGGUAUUCCCAAAUUCUCUUUCUCCACAG
rnacentral:lncRNA from 10 species